rnacentral:rRNA from 1 species
GAGGAAAGCUGGCGGCGUGCCUAAUACAUGCAAGUCGAGCGAACAGAUGAGGAGCUUGCUCCUCUGACGUUAGCGGCGGACGGGUGAGUAACACGUGGAUAACCUACCUAUAAGACUGGGAUAACUUCGGGAAACCGGAGCUAAUACCGGAUAAUAUAUUGAACCGCAUGGUUCAAUAGUGAAAGACGGUUUUGCUGUCACUUAUAGAUGGAUCCGCGCCGCAUUAGCUAGUUGGUAAGGUAACGGCUUACCAAGGCAACGAUGCGUAGCCGACCUGAGAGGGUGAUCGGCCACACUGGAACUGAGACACGGUCCAGACUCCUACGGGAGGCAGCAGUAGGGAAUCUUCCGCAAUGGGCGAAAGCCUGACGGAGCAACGCCGCGUGAGUGAUGAAGGUCUUCGGAUCGUAAAACUCUGUUAUUAGGGAAGAACAAAUGUGUAAGUAACUAUGCACGUCUUGACGGUACCUAAUCAGAAAGCCACGGCUAACUACGUG